rnacentral:lncRNA from 1 species
GUAGGCGCUGCUGCCGCCGCCUCCUCAGGAGCACCCGGCAAGGGGCCGCAGGAGAGAAGCCCUCGAGCUUUCGUCGGUGCUGGUGCUGCCGCCACUGCCGCCACCGCCGGGAAUCACACGGGCUCCUCGGUCCCAGGCUGCAGCUCUUGUUGCCAUGAUGAUGAUGUCACGGACGCAACCACUGGGGGGAGGGGAGAGGGGGGUGUGUGUGGCGAAGGGAGGCUGCGAGUAGUGCGGGGGAGGGGGCUCGGCGGGAAAAGGAGCGAGAGGGCGGGCGCCCGGGCGGGACACGGAGGGCGGGGGCCGAGAAGGGGCUUUCUCCCCCUCCCCGGGCACGCGGCGAGGGAGGCGGCCGGCGGCCGGCAGCGCCCGCGCGGGAUCGAUGACUCGGCUGGCGGGCACGGUCACCUGGGUGAGGGGCAGCGGAAGGGGCGGCGGAGCACCGAUCUCAUGGAUGGGCUCCGAGGGGCUUGCGGGAGGGGGGCGCCAGUGUUCGGGGCCGUUUUGGCGGCUAUGCAGGAUUGGCAGGAGCUGCGAUGCUCACACUUGCCUCGCCGACCGCCAUUUCACAUCCAGCAGAGGAGGCGGGGGCAGCCGCUGAGACGGUUUUUCACAAGGAAAUGACCUCAUUCUUGAUGGCUGCUGCUAACUUAUGGUGAGAUGCUGGGUCCCUGCCCAAUACCACAUGGACAUCCAAUCAAUUUACCCAGGGACAAGUCCACUCAAGAGCAUCAUUUAGAAGAGGGAAAAGGCACUGGGGUUAUUUGUUUUUGGAGUAUGUGCUUAAGGAAAUCUAGAGUAUUCCCACGAGCAUUCUGCUGAGAUGAACAAUCAGAUGACCUCGUGUGAGAUUUGGAGGAGAGAAGGAAAUGGAGAGCAUGCGUCUGCCGCUUCUGUGGUUUCUGUCGGCUUUCUCCAUAUUUACGUGCUUGUAACUCUGGCAUGACCUUUGCUCCAGUCUCUACCAGAGGGCGGUGCCUGGAUUGAAGUGGAAAAGCCCUGUUUUCCAGCCAUGACCCAGGGAGCAAGCACUGACUCCUCAGGGGAACAGGAGACCUGCCAACUAGGACCCUGGGAGCCCCCAUGCUGGCAGUGCCCUGGGUCAUCUCAGGCUCAUCAGCAAAUCCUGGGGGGAGAGCGGGGCUGGAGGGCGAAGAAGCCCAGGAGAGUUCCUGGCUCAGAACCCCUCUCUGAGGCUCCCAAUACAGAGCCCAGGCCCCACACCCAGGGCCUCUGAGUAUUUUUGUUUAUUGUAUGUAAAAUACUAGUGUAUUUUUGUUUAAGUCUCACAGGUAAACAGGUUCUCUCAUACUUUGCCAAGGGAAAUGUGAUCUGUGCAAUUUGGCAAUAACUAUCAGAAUUUUAAAAGCUUAUGCCCUUUGACCUAGUAAUUUCACUUCUAAGAAUUUCCCCUGCAGAGAUAUGUAUAUCUUGUAUGAAAUGAAGAGGCUACGAAGACAGGCAACGCCGCAGUGUUUAUAAUAGCGAAGACCAGACACAACCCACAUGUCUAAAGAUAAAAAAUGAAAAGGAAAGGCUCCACUAGUGAUUCUGAUGCUCACAAAGAUUAAGAACCAAUGCGAAUGAGGAACUCAUGACACCGCCCAGGAGACAGUGAACAUAUCUCUUCAAAUAUCAAAAACCUUUCAGCAGAGGGUGAGAACAUGUGCCUGGGGUAAGCAUGGGUGGGCAUGAGCUGGGUACAGAGGUGAUUCCCAGGGACAUACAACUACCUUGCCCUCCUGGGAUCAGGUCUUCCUCCCACCUUAGCCUCCCAUAUUGUUGGGACCACAGGCAUGCACCACCACACCUGGUUAAUUUUUUUUUUUUUUUUUUUUUUGUAGCGACAGAGUCUCGCCAUGUUGCCUAGGCUGGUCUCGAACUCCUGGGCUCAGGCAAUCCUUCUGCCUCGUCCUUCCAAAGUGCUGAGAUUACAGGCAUGAGCCACUGCACCCAGCCUGACAGUAGCUUUUAAUCUCUGGACUCUCAUCACCGUUUGGACUGUGAGCUGUGGUUCUAGCUCUUGGAUCUGAUGGGCAUCUUCCCUCAAAUAUGUCAGUUUCUCUCUCCAGGUCCCUUGCUUUGUCUUCCUUUUUGCCUCCUCGGGCCUGAUACCUUUCUCUGGGCUUCUCUACUCUGCCCCGAGCUGCCUAGUUUUGCGAAUAAUGUCACAUCCAGAUGUCAGCAGCCCUGAUGUCCAUGUGACAAUGCUCCCUUGCUGUCCAUGUGACAAUGCUCCCUUGGUGUCCCAGUGACAGAUUUUCCCAUGCUUCACCCUCUCUCUUUUUUAAUUUUUUUUUCUGUACACAGCUCUCAGUCAAGCCCCUUGAGCUGCCUCCAACUGUUUGCUCAUGUCUGUUCCCAGCAAUCUUUUCCUCUUUUAGCACAAUCUUCCUUAACUUACUAGUUUUUUGAAACAGAGCCUAUUAGUCUUCACAGCGCUACCUUUCUGAUCUCAGAGUUCACCAAAAAGCUUUUCCUCCCAUCAUGCCUGCCUCCCUUUCUUCAGGUCCGUUAGAGUCCACCGUGGCCUGUGUGGGAAGCAAGUCUCUCCCAGGGCACACAUGAACAGACUUCAUGCCCACAUCCACAGUGAACAGUGGCUUCUGCCUUCCAGAUGGGCUUACCCUAAAUCAACACAUAUUCCUAGGAUGUGGGAACAUAUGCAAUACUUAAAUGCACAGGCUCUGGGUUCAGACUCCCUAGGGUUAAAUUCUCCCUGUGCCGGCUAGCUGCAUGAUUAGAUUUGUGAUCUUGACAAAGUUACCUAACGUCUCUGGGCCUCACUUUUCUCAUCUGCAAAAUAGGGAAAAUAGCAACACUUCUCCAUAGGGGUGUGGUGAGGAUAAAGAGUAGAUGUAAAUAAAGUGUUGAAUGUAGAGCCUGGCACAUAUCAAGCUCUUAAAAAGCAAUGGCCAUUUUGUUAUUUUUACCGCAACGACAACUGCAGUUAUUAUCUGGCUUCAGAGCUCUCUUUUUAAAAACAGUAUUCCCUGGUUUUACACCCAGGUGCUAAUACUAUUCUAUGAAGCUAAUGUAUAGAGACCAUAUCUUUUUAACAAACGUGUAUAUAUGAGUCAUUUCCGGCACAUUUGAUACACAUCAUCUCGUUUGGUCCUUAAAACAAGCCUAGGCCAUAAGCAGGGUACGUGUUACCACUUUGCCAUUCCUGUUUUACAGAGGCUUAGACACAUUGAGAAGCUUUUCCAUAGUCACUUAACAAGUGAUGGGUGAAGCCAAAUCAAGCCUUUAGAUCUCCAAGCUCUUUCCAUUAAACCAUAUAAAUCACGGGUUGGCAAACUUUUUCUGCAAAGGGGACAGAUAGUAAAUAGUUUAAGCCUUAUGGGCCACAUGCUGUGUCUGUUUCAUAUUCUGCUCCUUUUUUAUUUUUAUUUUUUUUAAGAAAAGACACCCUUUAAACAUAUAAAAACCAUUCUGAGCAACAGGCUGGUGCUAAAAACAGGUCAUGGUAACCAUUGGCUCUAGGGUUGUAGUUUACUGUUGAUAUAGAUUGUACACUGAUAAGCCAAAAUACAAACCUAAUGAAACUGACAUACUUAAGGAACUUUACUCUUUGUUAGCAAUCAUUGUUAAUAUUUAUUGAAUGGUGACUACGUGGGAAAUGCUGUUCCAAGUGUGAUAGAUAUAUUAACUUACUUAAUCCUCACACCCACUCUAAUUUCCUAAGUACUAUUGUCAGACUCAUUUUACAGACAGGAAAAGCAAGGCAUAGAGAAGGUAAGUAACUUUUCCGAGGUCACAUGGCUAUUAAGUAGCAGAGCUGUGAUUCAAAUAUAAGCGGUUUGGCACCAGAUCCUGUGCACUUAACCGCUUGCAUCUCGGUUGGGAGCACUGACUGGUUCAGCUAUUGGGAGGGAAGAAAGGGGAUGGGGAAGCCACAUAACCCCUAGGAGAUUCUGUAAUAAAUAUGCUUCAGAGCCAUUCACCUUGAAGCUGAGGAGGCAUGGAAGCAGGCCACCUGUGUUCUGUACAGCAUCACCAGGCUGGAAAUCUGCCAUGGCUUUCCUUCACGCCAUCACAAGAGGAUACAGAUGAGGCUGCAGAGGCAUCUUGAUUUGAGAAAAGCAUUUGACUGGAUCUCAUUAAAUUUUAAUCAUUAACUGAAUUCAAAAUAAAUUGAAAACUGGUUGACAGAGCACCAACAAAGGGUGAUGAUAAAUGGUGAUGCAUCUAGAGGGGAGCUAUCUUCCAGGGGACAACUCUAAGGCAAGGACGGAUGGGAUUUAAUGAAGGUGUUAUGUCCCCAGAAGAAGACAAAUAGCACAGCAAGGAACAGAGGAAGGACAGGAGUGAGCAGCCUGAGUAAUUAAUAAACCAUAUUAACAGCUCCUCCAUAAUCAGGCCUUGGUGAUCACAACUGCUUGGAUUUUUUCUUAAGCUUUCUUUGAGUCAGGAAUAGGUUUGAAGCGUCCUAGAGACACACAGCAUGAAUAUUUCAGGUGGACAUUAAAAAGAAAUCUAUAAAUUUACAGCUGGGAGGAUCCUGAGAUCUACUUCGGAUCAGAAACUUUCAAUUACAAGAUUCCCAAGGCCUUACUUCAUUCCCCAGAGAGUAAUCUUUUUAAUAAAUGUCCAAAAGUCAUGGAUUUAAAAAAAAAUCUUUAAACUCAUUAAUGUCCUUUGUUUCCUGCCCAAAUGCAUGCAAACUUUCAUAACACUGGUUUGCUGAGUGGAAGGUUGGUUUUGAGUGAACUGUUUGGCUCAGAUUCAAACUCCAAUGAACAAAUACUUCCAAGUUUACUUGCUGAAUUUCCCAUACAGAGAAGUUCUUCCACUGGGCUUGCCAGAGGAUUUGAAACAGUGGUGAGCCCUGGAAGGAAGGGAAUAUUUACUGGCCCUUGGACAUAAACCCAGCACAGUAAGACUCACAUCAGGCUGAAGGCAGUGCAGUAUGAACCGACCUGAUUUGAGGAAGUUUGCUCUGGGACUCCUCUGAGCUACUAAAUGAGGAGGAGAAGGACUAAUGGGAACACACUGACUCCAUCACAUUAGAAGUUAUAAUAAACAUUUAGAGAACAACCUCAAACCAGCCCAUGUUUUUUUUUUUUUUCUGUCGUUGUCAUUGUUUUGGUUUUUGUUUUUUU